AAUUUACUUCUAUAGUGUUAAGUCAUUAAACAGUCACUCCCCAGAUAUGCUUCUGCUCUUUUUCUUUCAUCAGAUUGAUCCUCUGCAUGAUUAGGCAGUAUCAGAGUUACAGAUACUUGUCUCAGAUUGACAGUUCUAAAUGAGUUCUCCUGUAGAAGUGGAAAGGUAAAGCCCAGCCAAGUUUAAAACAGAAUUUGAUCUACCUUUGAAAGAAGCCAUAUGAUAUCCUAGUCUUUGCAAGGACAGCAAAGGUAUUUCCGUGCUGCAGUCCAGGCAGUAUCUGACAGUGUAGCGAUGGCAGCAGUGGUUGAACUCAUUGACCUGGAUUAAUUCUUGUCUGUCUACCUGCAGUCAUAGAGGUAUGGGGCUCAUUGCUGACUCCAAACAUGCUCAGGAAGCUUUAGUAAAUAAACAGAAAAUUCUUGGGUGUGUUUGUAGUCAGUACUGAUCUCCCUGACUGUACUAGUUUCUGAUCUAGCCUGUCUAAAGCUAGACUGUGAGGAGGUUUGUGAGGUGCAGUUGUGCAUUUGACUUUAGGAUACAGACGUUCCCAGUGAGGCUGUGAAAGCAGCAACCAGAUUAACUGCUCUUUGCUUUAAUUACAGGAUACAUUGAUAUGCAGUAAACAUUUGAAUCAGGACCAAUACAUUUACAAAUGGCCAGCCAUAAAUUGAAGGCUGUCACUCUGACUUUGAGCCCCUCAACAUGGAAGCUGUUCCAACGGCAGGGGCUCCAGUUCUUCUUCCAUGUGGCUUUUUCAAUUGCCUUCUCCUACCACCGCUAGCAGUUAGUAGAGCUGCCCCACAAAGACCUCUGUGCAGCUGCCAGGACAGGUAAUGUUUGGUGCCUUCAGCUCCCAAGGACAACUCCUCAGAAAUGCAGUGGAGUGCACACGACAGCUGCUGCUUCUGAUAAGUAAUUAGAACGGGCAGAGUCAGUGUUGGUGAUUCAGUGCUGAGCUCUAGUCCCCUAUACCACAAGGUCUUUUUUGCCUCUUUGUGAUGUAUGGCUGGUCUCACUAAAUUAGCUCAUUUCUGAAAAUUAUUUCAUCAGAUGUAAUACCAGAAAGGGAUGUUGCUUGGUUAACCUCAUUCAAUUGUAUUGGUUACUAGAAUUUUGGUGAGCUGUAGGAAGGUCCUGCACUGGCAAAAUCCAAGUAAAUAAAUAUUCCUCCAGAUUUUCUGCA
rnacentral:lncRNA from 1 species